AUCUUUGCGCUUGAGGUAUAUGAUGCAGUUAGUGAGGUACAAACCGAGACGCGUCUAUUGCUUGUUGAAAAUUAUUUCCAAACCCACCCCCUCUUAGGCUUGAGUUAAACUCAAGCCUUUGAGAAUUUCUGGAAGGACUCCCUUUGGUGCAAAGUC
rfam:Cicer arietinum chromosome Ca8, whole genome shotgun sequence.